UAACUACUCCCUCCGUUCCAAAUUACUCAUCGCAGAAAUGGAUGUAUCUAGAAUUGAAAUACAUCUAGAUACAUCCAUACCUGCGACAAGUAAUUCGGAACGGAGGGAGUACAAA
rnacentral:pre_miRNA from 1 species